AUCCAACCAACGAGUCCCAAAUAGGACGAAACGCGCGUCCUGGAU
rnacentral:hammerhead_ribozyme from 1 species